rnacentral:tRNA from 1 species
AUUUUCUUAGUAUAAUUUGUACAUUUGUCUUCCAAACAAAAAGUUUAGUCCAUAAAGAAAAUA